AAUGUCAAGGUUGAAGCAGUCCUCAAAUAAUGGAGGCAUGAGAUCAAACAUGAAACCUAUGACAGGUAUGAGGAGGACUAGCAGAGGUUUUUAAACCUCGAUGACCGAGUUAACGAGAUUUAUUUCACGGCUCUCCUCAUGUAUUGGGACAACGAUGCCACCAAGAAUAAAUCCACGAAGGGGUCAGAAAAUAGAAGAAAGAAGCCGCAUGACCACCACUUGGGCUCACACUCCUAUGCCAAUCUGGAGGAUGUUUAUUGUCAAGAUACGAUAUAUGACAUUUAAAGCUUUAAAUGAUCUUAAUGCUUAGUAUGAUUAUGAAAUCUCAUAAUUUGUAAUAUGACAGGAAAAAUCUUUAACGCCGAUACACUUGAGGGAAAAAGCGGCAUAUGGUACUUUCCGUGAUAAAUAUAGGGGUGAUGAGAAGAAUCGGGAUAAGAUCAAGGGAUAAGAUCAAGGCAAAUCUCGAGUUGGCGAUGAGACUUAUACAUAUCUUGAGCAGUAUUAUUAACUCUAUUUCGUUGUUAAUAUUACGAGGAAACGAGAACACAAAUAAUAUGUUCUUUACAUUGAAUUAACUAUAUAUUUGUGCUUUAGGAGGGAUUUGAGACCGUAUCCAAGGAGGAUGCAUCUGUGUACAUUUCGCAGGAGGAGGAAAAAACCGAGCCGGACCCUCACAUGCUUUCUGCAGAGGAGAACAUCACUCUCACACAGAACCUGAUGGGUCAUAAUAGGAGAGGAAGAUAUCCUCUGCAUGGUGUUGGAGCUUCACCCGGCAUAAGCAUGAGAUCAUCCACAGCAUCCUCCACGUCAUCUACAUCAAUGAGAGCAGCCCAAGCAGUUUCCAAUCUAUGUUAUUUUUUGCAUUUAUCUCUGCGUAUUUGAUUGACAAGAUUGACCCGGAGCUGCAUAUUCAGGUGACUAAUGAGAUGACUAGAGUUGCGCUGAUGGCGAACUCGAUGGACGAUCUCAUGAGUGGAGAUAUUGGAGGAAGCAGCACCCGUUCUCGUAACCGAGAUAGAGAUACUGCCGACGACGAUAAUAGAUGAGGUUUUUUUAUUUUUAAUACAAUAAAUAGUUUUAUUUGUUAUAACACUACAUUUAUUCAUGUCGUGUAUCUUAUCUUAUUCAUGUACAUUGUUAGUAUAUAUGCUGUUGGAUGGAUAUAUUAGACGGAAUUGGUUGAUGUAUAUUUUGGAUUGGAUGGUUGGAUUUG